rnacentral:lncRNA from 1 species
UUGCCUUCCAAAAUUCUUGUUUGCCCUGGAAAACAAGCAGACAAGACAUCUGUAGCGAGCAAGGAAUUCCUCCUGAGUGUCCUGUCUGUAAUUUAUGUUGGCUCUCACUCCAGUGCCUGCAGCAGAGCCCAUUACUGGUGGCAGUUGUGACACAGCAAAGGCUGCUCUCGGGGGCAGCUCUCCUGUGCAGGCGUGCUGAGGCUCAGCUCCCCUGUCUCUCCCAGGCUCCAGAGCCCAAUCCUCCCUUUGGCUGCCUCUGCUCUGGCAAUGUUUUCUCCCCCAUCGUGGUAAUCACGCAAUGGUCUCUGAGAACAGCAGGAGAAGCUGUGCCUGGUAGAUGCAUAAAAGCAGCUGGGCUCUCAAAGCCUGCCAGGAGCAGCGCGUCAGGAGCACAGGAGCUGGGGAUGUGUCCUGGCAGGAGGCAGCCCGGGUGACAAGGACACUGCCUGGCACGGGACUGGCACGGCCCUGGCACGGGUCCGCCUGUGAGCGCUGCUGUGAAGGACAGGGCACGCUGAUCUGCUCUGUACCGCUUGUACCGGGACAAUUCCACCUCCCGGGAAUACAGGGGAGUCUGGAAAGCAUUCACAGCUGUUGGAGAGCGGGGUGCUCGUGAGCCGGAGCCUGCGGCCGUGCCACCGCAAAGGUGCGGAUUGCCCGCGCCCGUCAUUGAGAGAACGGGGCACCAUCGCGGGCAGGGGGGGAGCUCCAGCGGCUGGAGACUGAGCAGGAAUCCCACACGGGCACCAGGGACUGCAGGCUGUGCUCGCUAUUCCCCCACAACGGCUGGGAUUCCGAUUCAUUUUUAAUGAAACGCUUUUUGCUACAAUCCUACAGCAGCCCCAAAUGGUGGCAGGCAAGAGGACGCCAGGUGGAAGAUGUGCUCCCUGCUCGCCUGCUCCCCGAGUCCCUCUGGAGGGAAAGCAGCGGGGACACGGCGGGGACACGGCGGGGACACGGCGGGGACACGGGGCAGGGACAGGGCAGGUGAGGGCGGGCAGGGACAGGACAGGUGAGGGUG